rnacentral:lncRNA from 1 species
GUUCUAAUGGGUUUUGUAUAACUUUUCCUUAGAUUCGUCCUGUGGACCAUCACAUCAUCUGUCAUGAAUGAAAACACGUGCUUGUGACUUUCAAAAUUAUAUGUUGUACUGGUUUUAUUCCACGGAAGGUUGUCUGAGUCUGGCAGAACAAUAUUAAUGAGAAAUGAUCUGGGGCCCUUUUAUAUGUUUAAUCUGUGUUUAAAAAGCACUAAAUUUCACCAUGAAGAUUUAUGUCUCCCAUAAGAUUUGUUUGGUUUUGUUGUGGUUUUUUUUUUUUUUUUGCUUUUGUUUUUGUUUUUGUUUUUUAGGGUCACACCCGAGGCAUAUGGAAGUUCCCAGGCUAGGGUUCAAAUUGGAGCUAUAGCUGCCAACCUACACCAUAGCCACAGAAACACCAAGCAAGUCUGCGACCUACACCACAGCUCAUGGCAACGCUGGAUCCUUGACCCACUGAGUGAGGCAGGGGAUCAAACCUGCAUCCUCAUGGAUCCUACUUGGGAUCGUUAACCACUGAGCCACAAAGGGAACUCCCUCCUAUAAGGUUUUAUUACAGGGAAUAUACAUCAGUCUAGCAGUUUGUUUUCUUUUCCUUUAAUAAUAAUUGUGUUUAACUCUAUCACACUUUAAAAUACUGCCUAUGAUAAUUUAAUAAUCUUUCCCCUCCUUUAAAUGAAUAGCAUGACUAUUACAUUAAUAAAUUUUGUGCUAUAAUGGUAUAAUAAUUCCACAUAUGUCUUUUCUGUAGAGGUAAUUUUAAAAUUUCUAGGUGUAAAUAUUUGAAGUACUCUGAAAAGGUAUUUACUUUAAAACUUAUUAAAUAAAAUAAUAUUGUAUAAGUUUUAGGCAUAAAACAGAAGGGUGUGAAAUAUGUAUAUAUUUCAAAAUGAUUGCCACAGUGAGAUUAGUUAACAUACAUUACCACAUAGAGUUUUUGUUUGUUUGUUUUGCUUGUGAUGAAGUAUUUUAAGAUCUCUCUUAGGACAUUUCAAAUAUACAAUAUAGCAUUGUUAAUAAGUCACAAUGCUGUACACUGCAUCCCUAGGACUUACUUAUCUUACAGCUGGAAGUUGAUAUCGUUUGUCCCCCCUUCCCCAUUUUGCUCAUCCCUCACCACACCCCUCUGGCAAUCACCAAGUCCUCAUGGAUACUAGUUGGGUUCCUCAACCACUGAGCCAUGAUGGGAACUCCAAAACACAAACAAUUUCUGCAUGUUGAUUUUGUACCCUGUAGCUUACUCCAUGAGUUUUCUUAGAAGUAUAAGAACAUGUCAUCUGCAAACACUGAAAAUUUUGCUUUACCUUUACGAUGUGGAUUUAUUUACUUUUCUCACCUAGCUGCUCUGGCUCGGAGCUUUCAGUACCAUGUUGAAUGAAAAGGGUAACUUUGUCUUGGUCUGAAUCUUAGAAGAAUAGCUUUCAGGAUUCAUAAUAGGUUGUUCACUUCGAGCUUGUCAUAUGAUUUUUACUGUGUUGAGGUGUAUUCCUCCUGUAACUAAUUUUUUGACAGUCUUUUUUUUUUUUUUUUUUUUUUUUUUUUUUUUUUNGAAGUUCCCAGGCCAGAGAUCAAACUCGUGCCAUAGCAGUGACAAUGCCAUAUCCUUAACCUGCUGAGCCACCAAGGAGCUCUUUUGGCAGUCUUUAUCAUGAGAGCUGGAUUUGGUCAAAAAUUUUUCUGUAUAUACUAAUAGGAUCAUAUUUUCCCUUUAUUCUCUUAAUGUGAUGAAUCACAUUGAUUGGUAUAUGUUGAGCCAUCUUUGCAUCCAGGCAUAAAUCCCAUUUGAUCAUGGUAAAUGACCCUUUUAAUGUGCUGGUGAAUUUAGUUGGCCAGUAUUUUGAGUAUACUUCAUCUGUUUUUCAGGGAUAUUGACCUGUACCUUUCUCAUAGUGCCCUGUGUAGUUUUGAUAUUGGGGUAAUGCCUCAUAAGAUGGCUUGAAAGUGUUGCUUCCUCUUUAAAUGUUUAGAAGUAUUUGAGAAGUAUAGGCUUUAAUUUCUCCUUAAAUAUUUGGUAUAAUUCACCAGUAAAGAGUUCCUGUCAUGGCUCAUGGUUAAUGAAUCCGACUAGGAACCAUGAGGUUGUGGGUUCAAUCCCUGGCCUUGCUCAGUGGGUUAAAGAUCCGGCGUUGCUGUGAGCUGUGGUGUAGGUUGCAGAUGCAGCUCGGAUCCUGCUUUGCUGUGGCUCUGGCGUAGGCCAGUGGCUAUAGCUCUGAUUAGACCCCUAGCCUGGGAACCUCCAUAUGCUAUGGGUACAGCUCUAGAAAAGGUAAAAAGACUAAUAAUAAUCAUUUCAUUAUUUUUACUGACUCCUUACUAGUCUGUUCAGAUAUUCUAUUUUUAAACUAUUUAGUCGUGGUAGAUUGUAUGUUUCUAGGAGUUCGUCCAUUUUUUCUAGGUAAUCCAAGUUGUUUGCGUAUGAUUGUUAAUAGUUGGUAGUCUUUGAGCUCCUAUUGUGGCUCAGUGGUGAUGAACCCAACUAGUAUCCAUGAGAAAGCAGGUUUAGUCCCUGGCCUUGCUCAGAGAGUGAAGGAUCUGGCAUUGUCUUGGACUGUGGUGUAGGUUGCAGACAUAGUUCUAAUCCCACACUGCGGUGGCUGUGACACAGGCCGGCAGCUGGAGCUCCGAUUUGACUCCUAUCCUGGUAACUUCUAUAUUCUGUGGGUGCAGUCCUAAAAAAAAAAAAAA